CUUGCUUCUCUUGAGAGCGGCGGACGGGUGAGUAAUGCCUAGGAAUCUGCCUGGUAGUGGGGGAUAACGUCCGGAAACGGACGCUAAUACCGCAUACGUCCUACGGGAGAAAGCAGGGGACCUUCGGGCCUUGCGCUAUCAGAUGAGCCUAGGUCGGAUUAGCUAGUUGGUGGGGUAAUGGCUCACCAAGGCGACGAUCCGUAACUGGUCUGAGAGGAUGAUCAGUCACACUGGAACUGAGACACGGUCCAGACUCCUACGGGAGGCAGCAGUGGGGAAUAUUGGACAAUGGGCGAAAGCCUGAUCCAGCCAUGCCGCGUGUGUGAAGAAGGUCUUCGGAUUGUAAAGCACUUUAAGUUGGGAGGAAGGGUUGUAAAUUAAUACUCUGCUGUUUUGACGUUACCGACAGAAUAAGCACCGGCUAACUCUGUGCCAGCAGCCGCGGUAAUACAGAGGGUGCAAGCGUUAAUCGGAAUUACUGGGCGUAAAGCGCGCGUAGGUGGUUCGUUAAGUUGGAUGUGAAAUCCCCGGGCUCAACCUGGGAACUGCAUUCAAAACUGACUGGACUAGAGUAUGGUAGAGGGUGGUGGAAUUUCCUGUGUAGCGGUGAAAUGCGUAGAUAUAGGAAGGAACACCAGUGGCGAA
rnacentral:rRNA from 1 species